rnacentral:lncRNA from 1 species
UCUUGUCAUCCCACUCUGCCCAUCCUGCUGGGUCAAUAUGGUUCUCUAUUGUCGACUGCAUCACAACAGUUCUGGAGUACUUCUUCCAUGGUCGACCCAGAUAAGUUUUGAUGGAACCCGCAACAGGCUUGAGAUCUGAGCUGGGUGUUAUGUUACAUUGUUGAAUUGAAGUUCCUGUGUUUUGGUUUGGAUCUUCUCUUCCUUGAGCCGUCACCAUGUUUUUUUGGUUACUCAUGGGCUUUCGGGCCACCAAGUAGCACUUUUGGAAGACGACGGCGGCGUUUCCGAAAAUGAAGUCAACGGUGCCGGUGAUAAAAGAGUCUCUGUAGAACUGCCUGUUGGUGUGUGCGUAGAGAGUGUCUUGAUAGGCAUCUACGCGACAUCGGUUUAUGACGGAUUGGUCGGCACCUACUCGAAGAGCCACUGCUUGGUGCUUCUGUGGGCCUGCAGUGUUCUGGAACCAUAUGUCUUGACCUAUAAAUCCAUCCCCCACAGCAGCUGCAAACCCAUGUUCCUAGUUAGUUUCAGUUUUUCAAAAUUUAUCACUACUCUCACAACUCACAACCAAUUCCACAUAGGAAAAUAGUAGCUUAAUGCAAAAAAGAACAAAGUUUGGUAAAAACAUUGUAGUAAGCAGAAGAAUGAUAUUUGGAGUAUUAUUCUACUAAACUAUUAUUCACGUUUGAUUUUAAAUCUCGUCAAAGUACCAUAAUUCAUUUUGGGUUGAUUUUUUAAUAUCGGGUUAGUUUUUGAAUUUGAAGUCGUUUUUUAACUAUAGUGUUAGUUGUGACAGGGUAUGGUUAUCUAUGUCUCUUUUGUUUUUCUUUUGUUUUGUAACAAGUUUGUAUCAUCCUAAACUUUACCACAUGUAUUAUAUCUUUUAUUUGGUGAUAAAAAAAGCAGAAGAAUGAGAAAAAGAGAGAGAGGGAGAGAUCCAUACCCACAGUUGCAGUCUGAAAUGUGCCCGUUCCGUCAAUAUAAUUCAAGCUGCCGGUAAUUACAGUUAGAUCCUUACCAUCUCCAACGAGCAUCACGUUCUUCUUCUUCUUACCAAUUUCAACAUUCUCUUUAUAUGUUCCUUUUUUCACGUAAAUAACAUACCUUGUCUUACUGUUAUCAGGUGCAGAUGCCACAGCCUCAGCCACAGUCUUGAAUUUCCCACUUCCAUCCUUUGCCACCACAACGUUGGCAUUGAUGUCCCCAACACUGGACUCCAAAAGCCUCCUAUCCUUGCUGCUCAACCAAGAGGGAAACUCCCCAUUCAGUGGCUCAUCGAUUGGUUCAACCCUCGGGGGCAAAACAGUCACAAACAUGGCCAGAGCGGUUCUUGCUCUGGAUAUCAAGUCCUCAAGUUCAGCCUCCAUAAGGGCUCGAGCUGUCCCCUCUAACCCAUCCAAACAAGUUGCAUGGUUAGUGAGCACGCUACUUAGCCAUGUGUGUGCAUCUUGCUGUGACUCAGUGGUUUGGUUUGUUAGAGUUAGCAUUGAGUCCAAAACUCUGUCGAUGGAUAAAUCCAUCAGCUCCACACAGUCGUUCAAAGCUGCUUCCUCCUUGGGACUGUUAACCCUAAGUUUGAUGGAACUAGCUGUGUUCAUGGCUCUCUGAAUGUGUGAGGUGGAUUUCAAUAAGAAAGAGUGGAACAAAUUGAAGCUGUGGUCUUUUGUUGUGGUGAAGAUGGGACCUUGAACCACUUCUGAGAGGUGUGCUAAGCAUGAUGGGUUAUCAAGUGCAUGAUGACAGAGAUGUUGAGGAGAGGAUUGGUUAAGGAAGGAACUGGGUUUGAUGAAAUAAGAAGCAGCAAAGACUGAGGAGCAUAUGAGAGCAGCCAAAGAGAAGAUUAAACAGAUAGUUUUGGUAGCAGAAUUUCUUGGCCUCUCUAGCAGAGAUUCUUGGAUAGCCAUACUUGUAAGUGUUACUAGUGCCUUGUUUUAGCCAUGCAUCAUUGCCCUUAUAUAUAGGCCAAAACACUUCUGUAGAUAACAUAUCAUAAAUGUUUUUUUUUAUAAAUAAAACACCCUAAACAUAAUUUUUUUAAUUUUAAAAAUUAUUUUAUCAUUUUGUUUAUAUUUUCAUGAGAUUUUUUUUUUAUAAAUAUUAAUAUUUUAUUGGAUGUAAGUGAAAUUGGGUGUAAAAAUAUCAUCACCCAUAACAUAUACCUGCUUCUAGAUUUAGAAUAUUUUCAUCAUUUCAUAACAAAAAAAAUUGAAAUUUAUUUUUUAAUAAUUAUAUUACUUUUAAAAAUGAGCUAUUAAAUGAUGGGUGAAAUGUCAAAAUAUUAUUUUUAUUAUUAGAGUGUAAAGAUAUUAAUCCAAAAUAAGAUAAUAAUCUUAUGACACUUUGUUAGAGUCAACACUGAUUAGUAAUCCUAUAGACAUGUAACUUCAAUAAUUCACCGUUUUCUUCCCCUUUGUACUUUGUACUUUGUGGAUGUCACUACUCAAGAGACAUGUGGCUUCAAUAAUUCACCAUUUUCUUCUCCUUUAUAUGUUGUGGAUCCCACCAUAUAUUCUUUCUGUAAACCGUGUGUUGCACGUGAUUUUAUUUAAAAAUAUAAUAUAUUUCUUAUAUAAAUUUGAUUUCACAAAAUUUAAAAUAAUAACAAAUAAUAUGUAUAAUAUAUAUAAAAGUUUAUUAUUAUAUAACUUUGAAAUUAUAUUUGAAAUAUAAUUUUAAACCUAAAGUCGUACAUUCUAUAUACUCUUUUCAAAUAAAAAAUCCUAUACUCAAAAUCUUUUUAUAUAUACUUAAAGAAUGGGUGAAAGUGUUCAUACUACAUUUGAGAAAACUUUUAGCUUGUGAUAACAUAAGAUAAUGUUAUAAAAAUGUGAGGAGAGCCUCUUUUCACAUCUUAUCAUACGCUUCGACGUGUGGUUUGGAUUAAAUUUUCAAAUUUAAUUUUUAUUAUUUUACUUGUCUUUUGUCGGUAGAACGUGAAGAGCAACGACAAGUUCAUGUCCCAUUUGUGACAUGUCCAAAUGUAUAUAGAAACGUGGAGAGAGAAGAGAACAUGUUAUUUUUCACAUUUUUACGACACCAAUUCAAUUGUGUGUAGAAGUAAGAAAAAUUCCACGUACUAAAUAUUAGAGCAUUCUCAUAUUAUAUAUUCUGAUAUUAUAUAUUCUCAUAUUAUAUAAGUGCGUGCAAACUUCAUCCCAUGAGUCGAUUUUAUGAGGUUGAGUUAGGCUUAAAGUCCACUUUGUAAUAUGGUAUUAGGAGUCAUUUUGAACAUAUCCUAACUAGUGUUUGGGUUGGAUCUAUCGUGUCACCCGCUAUCGGACCACUAUUGGACCAUCCAUAAUAUAUAGUCUCACGCACGAGUUGACAAGUGCAAACCUCACCCUAUGAGCCGGUUUUAUGGGGUUGAGUUAGACUUAAAGUUUACUUUGUAAUCAAAUUCUCUUCAUUUUAUCAUUAAAUUAAGUUAUUAUCCAUAUUUUUUCAUGUGAUUUUCAUCAAAAUUCUACCGAUUUAAACUACAAGUAUAAUUAAAUUUUAAGUUAACUUUAGUUUUGGAUGUAUUAUGUUGUUUCAUUCAGUUCAAUUGAGCCUUAGACUAAAUAUCUUUGUUUAAGAUACCUUAAAAAUAUAUUAAUUAAUUAAAAUAAUAAUAUAAAACACAUAAACGGCUAAAAGAAAAUAAUAAAGACAAGUGAUGUAAGGAACGUAUUUUAUGGUUCCAUUUAUUUAUUUUUUAUUGCUGAUAAAAAUAAGUAUUUUAGCUGAAAAUAAAUUAAUAAUUAAACUUAAAAAUAUCAUAUAAGUAUUAAAUUUGAGCAAUGCGAUUCAUAUAAUAUAUUAAAAUGAAAAGUCACUUUUAUUAACUAAUAAAAUUUUAUUUUUUUUGGAAAUAAUAUAUUUUAAAUUUAUUAACGUAGCCAGAACUAAAAUAUAUUUAAACAAAUUUCUCUAAGUAAGUCUGUUUGGGAAAAAUCAAAAAAUGAAAUGAAAUUUAAAUUUUUGUAUAGAUAAACUAAAAAUAAGAAUUUAGAUAAGUUAUAUAAAAGAGCUGUUAUAUAUUAAUUUUUAGUUAUAUAUUAUUUAUAUAUACCUAUAAAAGAGUUUAUCCAAAUAUAUUCUAAAUAUUCCAUCAUAAUAAUGUUAGUGCAUUCGUUGUGUCCUUAGAACUAAAAUAAAAUAACCUUUUUUUAUAUUAUUUAUUUUAAAAAUAAAUAUCAGUAUUGUGUUAUUAAUUUAUUAUUUAUUAUUAGUAUUAAUGGUUUAUUUUUAUGUUAUUAUUAUAAAAAAAAUAGCAACAUAUUGCAUUUAAGGUUUUCACCAAUUCAAAAUGUUGUCCGUUGUUCACAAUAAAUGUAAUAAUGUAUUGAAAUUUUAAAAUGUACGAGAUGAUAAGCAUAGUAUAUAUAUAUAUAUCAUAAUUAAUUAAAAAUCAUAGUAUUUUAAUCUAAAAUAUUAAAAGUACAUUUUAAUUUUUAAUAAUAUAAUAUUAUAAUCUCCAAAUUAUAAUACAUAUGCAGAUCAUGUAUGCCAAAUCAUAUAUCGAUAACGUAUCACACUUGUUACAUAAACAUAACUUUCAAGUCUUGGACAAACAAAGUCAUAUAAAGCCUAAUACCAUAUAUUUUUAAUUUUUAAAAUAAUAUUUAAUUUAAUUGAUGUAAUAAUUAUUUAUUUUUUAAUCAACCGUGACACCACAAAAUAAACUCCUUAAGUUUAAACUUUUAUAUUUAUAUUUUUUCAGUUAUUAAAAACAUUUUGCAACCUACAAAAUAUGACGUUAAAAGUUAUUCUUUUGUUUGAAAGCAUAUUUUUAAAUUGCGUAAAUAAAAGUAAUAAAAAAGGAAAAAAGGUAUAAAAUAUUAUAAUAUUUACGAUGUGUUUACAUCAAGUCAAAUACUAUUAAUUACGUCGAGAAAAGGAAAUUUUUUUCUCUUUCACAUGCAGAAAUACACUAAGAAAGACACGUAAAAUUCGGUGAUAACAAAUAAAUGCUCCUCUGAAAUACGAGAUGACCAUUUUUUUCUUUAUUUUUUAAAUUAUUUUUAAAGAUAAAAAUAUAUUUGUAAACUUAUAUUUUUAAUAUUUUUAAUAUUUUAAUUUUUUUUUAUAUUUAUCACACUACUUAUAAAAUUCAAUUAUUUUUUUUUCACAAAUUCAAAAUACAUAUUUUAUUCCAAAUAAUCUAACUAUUUUUCAAUUUCCUUUCAAAUCAUUUAAAAUUUACUUCUCCCGACACUCACAUAUUUUUGUUUCUAAUAUGUAUUUUUUUUUAAAUAAUAAAACUUAUCAUUAUCAAUAAUUAAUAAUGGCAGCAAACAAGAAAAAUUAUUAAAUAAAAAUUAAUUUUAGAGAUUAAUUUUUUUAAAUUUUUAUUAUUGUUAAAUAAUUUUUAAUUUGAUAUGUAAUUAAUUACAAAUAUUUUUCUAUCAAAUUUAAAAUAUAGAUUAUUGAUAAUUAAAACCUUGAUAAUUAGUUAGAUAUCAAUUUAAAAACUGUUUUUUUAUAUUUAAAAUGAUUUAUAAUUUAAUUAAUAUAACAAUUAAUUAUUUUUUUCUAUAAAAUUAAUUUUUUUUUAAUACAAGAAAGCAUGAUGGACAGUGGAGUACCAUAAUUUCAAUCCAAGUAAAUUGUCUUUACCCACUUAUACAUGUCUAAAGUUCAGCAUCUUUUGCACUAUUGAGUGUAAAGAAAUAGACUCAAGAAAUUACCAUAAAUUGUAAAAUCAUUACAAGAUUGAAGUGAAUCAACUAUUUUUUUUAAUGAAUGUGAAAAAAGUUAUAUUCUACAUACAAACAUGAUUUUAAUUUUUUAUAUAUUUUAUAACGUAAGAUUGUGUUUGAUAUAUUUUUUUAUUUCACAUUUAAAGUGUCAUGUGAUAUCCAAAUAUUAAGUUGAAGCCUUUAUCAUCCUACAUAAACCUAUUAUAAUUAAAAUUUGUCAUAAAGUGUAGAUAUUAAAUUUAAAAACUAACCCAACCAACCAUGUUCUAAUAAAGGGACCAAUUACCACACCUUUCAUUUGACAGUACCAGUAGUUCCAAACUUAGCAAGAAAGAAACUAAUGAAUAAAUGUAUAACUGAAUACUGAAUAGCACUUACUACCAAAACACAAAACUCCACAUUUCUCAAUUUCUCACAUCGUCUAACAUUUAAGACACUUCUCAAUAAUAUUUUCUUUUUCUUUUUCUUUUUCUGUUUUCACAUGUGAAGUAUAAAAGUACUAUUGUUUUUCAAUUUUUUAAAAAUAGAAGUAGAAAAUAAAAAACAAUUGUUUUGUUUUCCUACAUAUAUAUAUAUAUAUAAUUAAUUAAUAGAUGGAAAGGUAGUUUUAAUUAAUUACAGCUUCAUGGAAACAAUAAUUUUUAUAUUUAUUUGAUUUUCUUAUAAAUAUUUAUCGAAUCUUCUUUAUAAGACUGAAUUUAUUAUAUUUUAUUUCUUCUUCUUUCUUUUGUAAGGUGGAGUUGUAUUAUUUUUACCUUUUAAUUAUAUUUUCUUAUUUUUAACCCUUUUAUUAUAUAACAUAUUGAUAGUAACCUUUUAAUAAGGGUUGUAAACUUGAAGUGUUCCCUUUAAAUUAAAAUAUUUUUUUACAUUUAAUUUUAAAUUUAUGUUUUAUUAUAUAUAUUUAUUUUUAAACUGAUUACAUCAAUAGAGUUGUAUACAGCUCGGGUUAUGAAAUUAUGAUUUUCAAUAAUAAUAUCCAGGACUUAGGGUCCUGACAUAAGUUUAUUUUACGUUAAACAUUAUAUAGUACCAAUACAAAAGCGCAAACCUUAGUCGUGCCCCAACAUAGCAAAGAUUGCAUUUUAGAGGCCUUCCGUGUAGUUGACCCCGGUGUUUUUCAGCCAAACAUUUCCUUGGAUGAGCUGUGUUACUGUGAACUUUGAGGCUUCUGUUGCAGUUAUGCUCUUAUGGUAACCAGGCCAGUUCACUCUCUUGCUGCUUCCAGCACCUGCUCCACUGUUAUUGUACUCUGCAUAAUACAAUGUUUGCAAAAAGUCCUUACUCUUUUCAUCCCACUCUGCCCAUCCUGUUGGGUAAAUAUGGUUCUCUAUUGUCGACUGCAUCACCACAGUUCUGGAGUACUUCUUCCAUGGUCGACCCAGAUAAGUUUUGAUGGAACCCACAACAGGCUUAAGAUCUGAGCUGGGUGUUAGGUUACAUUGUUGAAUUGAAGUUCCUGUGUUUUGGUUUGGAUCUUCUCUUCCUUGAGCCGUCACCAUGUUUUUUUGGUUACUCAUGGGCUUUCGGGCAACCAAGUUGCACUUUUGGAAGACGACGGCGGCGUUUCC